ACAAUAUUCGGACCGUCGCAGCGUCGGUCAAUAUUACCCGCUCGGAGGAAGAUCUUCCCUUUGUCGU
rnacentral:pre_miRNA from 1 species